rnacentral:rRNA from 1 species
GUCGUAAGCUCUUUCCCUCUGUUGAAAAUGACAGUUGCUGGUUAAGAAACCCCGGCUAUCUCCCUGCCAGCAGUCCGCGGUAUUACGGACGGGGGUUAGCGUUCUUCGGAAUUAGUGGGCGUUAAGCGCGCGUUGGCGGAAUACAAAGUAUGGGGGUGAAAUCCCGGGGGUCAACCUCGGAACUGCCUCCAAAACUGCUAGUCUAGAGUUCGAGAGAGGUGAGUGGUAUUCCGAGUGUAGAGGUGAAAUUCGUAGAUAUUCGGUGGAACACCUCAGGCGAAGCGGCUCACUGGCUCGAUAUCUGACGCUGAGGUGCGAAAGUGUGGGGAGCAUACACGGAUUACAUACCCUGGUAGUCCACACCGUAAACGAUGAAUGCCAGUCGUCCGGUAUAUACUAUUCGGUGAACACCUAACGGAUUAAGCAUUCCGCCUGCGGAGUACGGUCGCAAGAUUAAAACUCAAAGGAAUUGACCGGCGCCC